rnacentral:rRNA from 2 species
GGGUUGUGAGGUUAAGCGACUAAGCGUACACGGUGGAUGCCCUGGCAGUCAGAGGCGAUGAAGGGCGUGCUAAUCUGCGAUAAGCGCCGGUAAGGUGAUAUGAACCGUUAUAACCGGCGAUACCCGAAUGGGGAAACCCAGUGUGAUUCGUCACACUAUCAUUAACUGAAUCCAUAGGUUAAUGAGGCGAACCGGGGAACUGAAACAUCUAAGUACCCCGAGGAAAAGAAAUCAACCGAGAUUCCCCCAGUAGCGGCGAGCGAACGGGGAGGAGCCCAGAGCCUGAAUCAGCAUGUGUGUUAGUGGAAGCGUCUGGAAAGGUGCGCGAUACAGGGUGACAGCCCCGUACACAAAAGCGCAUGUGCUGUGAGCUCGAUGAGUAGGGCGGGACACGUGAUAUCCUGUCUGAAUAUGGGGGACCAUCCUCCAAGGCUAAAUACUCCUGACUGACCGAUAGUGAACCAGUACCGUGAGGGAAAGGCGAAAAGAACCCCGGCGAGGGGAGUGAAAAAGAACCUGAAACCGUGUACGUACAAGCAGUGGGAGCACAGGUUUACCUGUGUGACUGCGUACCUUUUGUAUAAUGGGUCAGCGACUUAUAUUCUGUAGCAAGGUUAACCGUAUAGGGGAGCCGUAGGGAAACCGAGUCUUAACCGGGCGUUAAGUUGCAGGGUAUAGACCCGAAACCCGGUGAUCUAGCCAUGGGCAGGUUGAAGGUUGGGUAACACUAACUGGAGGACCGAACCGACUAAUGUUGAAAAAUUAGCGGAUGACCUGUGGCUGGGGGUGAAAGGCCAAUCAAACCGGGAGAUAGCUGGUUCUCCCCGAAAGCUAUUUAGGUAGCGCCUCGUGAAUUCAUCUCCGGGGGUAGAGCACUGUUUCGGCUAGGGGGCCAUCCCGGCUUACCAACCCGAUGCAAACUGCGAAUACCGGAGAAUGUUAUCACGGGAGACACACGGCGGGUGCUAACGUCCGUCGUGAAGAGGGAAACAACCCAGACCGCCAGCUAAGGUCCCAAAGUCAUGGUUAAGUGGGAAACGAUGUGGGAAGGCCCAGACAGCCAGGAUGUUGGCUUAGAAGCAGCCAUCAUUUAAAGAAAGCGUAAUAGCUCACUGGUCGAGUCGGCCUGCGCGGAAGAUGUAACGGGGCUAAACCAUGCACCGAAGCUGCGGCAGCGAACGUAUCACCCAAGACAACUUUACGGAGUUGACGAUUGACGGAGCGAAGCGACGUCAAAGCGUUCAUUAAAGUCGAGUUGGCUUAGGGAUACGUUCGUUGGGUAGGGGAGCGUUCUGUAAGCCUGUGAAGGUGUGUCGUGAGGCAUGCUGGAGGUAUCAGAAGUGCGAAUGCUGACAUAAGUAACGAUAAAGCGGGUGAAAAGCCCGCUCGCCGGAAGACCAAGGGUUCCUGUCCAACGUUAAUCGGGGCAGGGUGAGUCGACCCCUAAGGCGAGGCCGAAAGGCGUAGUCGAUGGGAAACGGGUUAAUAUUCCCGUACUUGGUGUUACUGCGAAGGGGGGACGGAGAAGGCUAUGUUGGCCGGGCGACGGUUGUCCCGGUUUAAGCGUGUAGGUGUGUGUUCCAGGUAAAUCCGGUUCACUUUAACACUGAGGCGUGACGACGAGGCACUACGGUGCUGAAGCAACAAAUGCCCUGCUUCCAGGAAAAGCCUCUAAGCAUCAGGUAACAUCAAAUCGUACCCCAAACCGACACAGGUGGUCAGGUAGAGAAUACCAAGGCGCUUGAGAGAACUCGGGUGAAGGAACUAGGCAAAAUGGUGCCGUAACUUCGGGAGAAGGCACGCUGACACGUAGGUGAAGUGAUUUACUCAUGGAGCUGAAGUCAGUCGAAGAUACCAGCUGGCUGCAACUGUUUAUUAAAAACACAGCACUGUGCAAACACGAAAGUGGACGUAUACGGUGUGACGCCUGCCCGGUGCCGGAAGGUUAAUUGAUGGGGUCAGCGCAAGCGAAGCUCCUGAUCGAAGCCCCGGUAAACGGCGGCCGUAACUAUAACGGUCCUAAGGUAGCGAAAUUCCUUGUCGGGUAAGUUCCGACCUGCACGAAUGGCGUAAUGAUGGCCAGGCUGUCUCCACCCGAGACUCAGUGAAAUUGAACUCGCUGUGAAGAUGCAGUGUACCCGCGGCAAGACGGAAAGACCCCGUGAACCUUUACUAUAGCUUGACACUGAACAUUGAGCCUUGAUGUGUAGGAUAGGUGGGAGGCUUUGAAGUGUGGACGCCAGUCUGCAUGGAGCCGACCUUGAAAUACCACCCUUUAAUGUUUGAUGUUCUAACGUGGACCCGUAAUCCGGGUUGCGGACAGUGUCUGGUGGGUAGUUUGACUGGGGCGGUCUCCUCCUAAAGAGUAACGGAGGAGCACGAAGGUUGGCUAAUCCUGGUCGGACAUCAGGAGGUUAGUGCAAUGGCAUAAGCCAGCUUGACUGCGAGCGUGACGGCGCGAGCAGGUGCGAAAGCAGGUCAUAGUGAUCCGGUGGUUCUGAAUGGAAGGGCCAUCGCUCAACGGAUAAAAGGUACUCCGGGGAUAACAGGCUGAUACCGCCCAAGAGUUCAUAUCGACGGCGGUGUUUGGCACCUCGAUGUCGGCUCAUCACAUCCUGGGGCUGAAGUAGGUCCCAAGGGUAUGGCUGUUCGCCAUUUAAAGUGGUACGCGAGCUGGGUUUAGAACGUCGUGAGACAGUUCGGUCCCUAUCUGCCGUGGGCGCUGGAGAACUGAGGGGGGCUGCUCCUAGUACGAGAGGACCGGAGUGGACGCAUCACUGGUGUUCGGGUUGUCAUGCCAAUGGCACUGCCCGGUAGCUAAAUGCGGAAGAGAUAAGUGCUGAAAGCAUCUAAGCACGAAACUUGCCCCGAGAUGAGUUCUCCCUGAGACUUAGAGUCUCCUGAAGGAACGUUGAAGACGACGACGUUGAUAGGCCGGGUGUGUAAGCGCAGCGAUGCGUUGAGCUAACCGGUACUAAUGAACCGUGAGGCUUAACCUUACAACGCCGAAG